rnacentral:rRNA from 1 species
GAUGAACGCUCGCUACAGGCUUAACACAUGCAAGUCGAGGGGAAACGACAUCGAAAGCUUGCUUUUGAUGGGCGUCGACCGGCGCACGGGUGAGUAACGCGUAUCCAACCUGCCCAUCACUUGGGAAUAACCUUGCGAAAGUAAGACUAAUACCCAAUGACAUCCCACGAAGACAUCUGAAUGGGAUUAAAGAUUUAUCGGUGAUGGAUGGGGAUGCGUCUGAUUAGCUUGUUGGCGGGGUAACGGCCCACCAAGGCAACGAUCAGUAGGGGUUCUGAGAGGAAGGUCCCCCACAUUGGAACUGAGACACGGUCCAAACUCCUACGGGAGGCGGCAGUGAGGAAUAUUGGUCAAUGGGCGAGAGCCUGAACCAGCCAAGUAGCGUGCAGGAUGACGGCCCUAUGGGUGGUAAACUGCUUUUAUAAGGGAAUAAAGUGGGUCUCGUGAGACUUUUUGCAUGUACCUUAUGAAUAAGGACCGGCUAAUUCCGUG